GCCGGCCGGCCGGCACCGCCACCUCCUGCUCCCGGCGUGCGGCCGCCUGGGGGCUGCUGCUGCUGCCGCCGCCGCUGAGCCUCCUCCCUCCUCCCCCCGCCGCGUCUCCAGGCUGAGCCCUCCCCGCGGCCCGUGCCCACCUGGCCCGCCCCUGGCAGGAAGGAGGAUGGCGGAGAGUGAAGCCGAGACCCCCAGCACCCCCGGGGAGUUUGAGAGCAAAUACUUUGAAUACAAUGGAGUGCGGCUCCCUCCCUUCUGCCGGGGGAAGAUGGAGGAGAUCGCCAAUUUCCCGGUGCGGGGCAGCGAUGUCUGGAUUGUCACCUAUCCCAAAUCAGGCACAGGCUUGCUACAGGAAGUGGUAUAUCUAGUGAGUCAGGGAGCUGACCCUGAUGAGAUUGGAUUAAUGAAUAUAGAUGAACAGCUUCCAGUCCUAGAGUAUCCUCAGCCUGGUCUGGACAUCAUCAAGGAGCUCACAUCUCCUCGCCUCAUAAAAAGCCACCUACCAUAUCGGUUUUUGCCUUCAGACCUCCAUAACGGCGAUUCCAAGGUAAUAUACAUGGCUCGCAACCCCAAAGACUUGGUAGUGUCCUAUUACCAGUUUCACCGCUCCUUAAGAACCAUGAGCUACAGAGGAACAUUUCAAGAAUUCUGUCGAAGGUUUAUGAAUGACAAGUUAGGAUAUGGUUCAUGGUUUGAACAUGUGCAAGAAUUCUGGGAACAUCACAUGGACUCCAAUGUACUUUUCCUCAAGUAUGAAGAUAUGCACAAGGACCUGGCAACAAUGGUUGAGCAGCUGGUGAGAUUCUUGGGAGUUUCUUAUGACAAAGCACAGCUGGAAUCCAUGGUGGAACAUUGCCAUCAACUCAUUGAUCAGUGCUGUAAUGCAGAAGCCCUUCCAGUUGGCAGGGCACAUUGAUCUUUACUCUGAAGAAAACCCUCAGCUGCUGUGAAAGCAGAGCAUUUUGAUUAGCUAUAUUACUUAUAUUUGCUUCAUAUCACAUCAUAAAUUACACAGUUGCAUGAUUCAAAUGAUAAACCAGGACGAGUUGGGCUAUGGAAAGACAUCUUCACUGUGUCAAUGAAUGAGAAGUUUGAUUUAGUUUAUAAGCAGAAGAUGGGAAAGUGUGACCUCACAUUUGACUUUUAUUUAUAAAGAAACACGCAUGCAUACAAUAUCCAAAUAUUAGCUAGCAGUGCUUUAUGCGUUCAUUUAUUACCUGCUGGACAAACUACUGUAGCUAUUAUGUGUAACAUGACUGAAAAACAAACAAAAUCUAAGUAAACCAUAGGAAACACUAUUAUUCUUGAUCCUAAACAGCUGUUUAUCCUUCAGCAUUUUAAUCUUUUGUCAACAUGCAAGAAUUUCAUAGAUAGUACAAGAAUACUCAGCUGUUAUGGAAUGUAUUAUAUAAGUAUAAGGUAUGUAUCAUAUAUGCAACUAGAAUGUACACUUUUUCAGCCCCACAUUGAUUAUUUAAUGUAUUUUAUAGAAGCUUUUCACUGGAAACCUAAAUGAAAUUCAGUAAACCAAAUAAAAAAUUAUUUCAGAAGGAAAUCAGUAAUAGGCCAAACCAAACUGUAUGCGAGAAUGAUCUCAGGGGUUAGCUGUCACAUUUAUUUUUAUAGUUGGAAUGUCAAGGACAAAACAGUCCUAUCCCAAAUUAAAAGGCUAAAGAUGGAGGUUUCCUUUAAUUUCUGCACUUCCAUUAUUUGUAGGAUUUCUGAGUGGAUACCAUUCGCUGGCACACUUUGCAAGCCAAACAUAACUGCGGUUGUCACUCCGCGCACACAUGCUCUUACGUCUGAUAAGAGGUGGCUGUAUUCAGAGUGAAUGAAAUUCAUCCCUGUGAAGAGGGCAGGCCGUCACAAGGGCCUGUUCAGCACUUAAGUCUCACUCAAGUCCUCAGCACAGGGUGUAAGUGAGUUGUAAGUGGUGCAUGGGGCUUGUGCUGGGCCUAUGGUUAGGAGUCAAUUUCUCCCAGGGUUUCUGUGAUACGUGCUGGUCUUCCACACAGGUCUGAGUUUCACCCAUUGAGAAUGAUCCUCUUAGGUAACGAGAGCGUUCUGCUGGAUUCUGAGAACCCUCAAGUUCCAUUGAAAUCAUGGGAGUUGAGGGAACUUAGUAUUUUUAACACUUUUAGACUCAUUCAGACAUAAUUUGAAGAUGGAUGUACAUAUUGGUACAAAUACGUAAAUGAACUAGCAGGUCUUGAAGAAGAGAUUUUAAGGAUACUCCAGCACGUGGGAGUAUUAUGCAAGCGAUGGUAUUUAUGCAGAAUACAAUUGCAGCAAUUGACUGUCAGCCAUUAAUUUAUAAGCAGGAUUUGAGUUUAUUUUUUCUGUGUCUUUUUAUUUCCCCGAUAUGCCUGUGGGUAGUUACAUAUUAACCUGGUGCAGGCUACUGUAACAAUGAGAUUCUACAGAAUUAUUUGAUCCUUCAGUUAAAAAGCUAUAUUUUUAGGUUCUCAGCUGCAGGAGGCCCAUUUUGCUAGCCCUACAGUAUAUCUCACCAAAAGCUGUGAGGAAGGACUAGCGGAUUUUAGUAUUUUGCUUCUGUUGGAAAAUAACCUGUCAAUGCAGCAAUUGGCAAGUGGUGUGGCAUGAUGUGGCUUGACAGCACCUUUCUUUGUAUAUCUGUGAGUGAAACUGCUUUCAGUGAAAUUUUAUUUCUAUUUUUAUAUUUUUAGUACUGUAUGACUAUUAAGCA